GGUUAAAAAGCUCGUAGUUGGAUUUCUGUCCGAGGCGGCCGGUCCGCACUUAGUGCGUGUAUCUGGUUCGGCUAGGGCAUCCUCUUGGGGAUUGUUUCUGUGCUUUAUUGCAUGGGGCGGAAUUCAAGACUUUUACUUUGAGGAAAUUAGAGUGUUCACGGCAAGCAAUCGCUUUGAAUACAUUAGCAUGGAAUAAUAAUAUAGGGCGUAAGUUCUAUUUUGUUGGUUUCUAGGACAUACGCAAUGAUUAAUAGGGACAAUUGGGGGCAUUCGUAUUAACGCGUCAGAGGUGGAAUUCUUAGAUUGCGUUACGACGAACUACUGCGAAAGCAUUUGCCAAGGAUGUUUUCAUUGAUCAAGAACGAAAGUAUGGGGAUCGAAGACGAUUAGAUACCGUCGUAGUCUAUACCAUAAACUAUGCCAAUUAGAGAUUGGAGGUCGUUCAUUUAUGGCACCUUCAGCACCUUAUGAGAAAUCAAAAUUUUUGGGUUCCGGGGGGAGUAUGGUCGCA
rnacentral:rRNA from 1 species